GUGCACUCGCUUCAGCAGCACAUACACUGAAAUCGGGACAAUACAGAGAAGAUUAGCAUGGCCCCUGUACAAGGAUGACAUGCAAAUUCCUGAAGUAUUUCAUCUUUUU
ensembl:snRNA U6 U6 spliceosomal RNA